rnacentral:rRNA from 1 species
AAACUUUCAACAAUGGAUCUCUUGGUUCUCGCAUCGAUGAAGAACGCAGCGAAAUGCGAUAAGUAAUAUGAAUUGCAGAAUUCCCGUGA